CGGGACGGGUGAGUAAUGUCUGGGAAACUGCCUGAUGGAGGGGGGUAACUACUGGAAACGGUAGCUAAUACCGCAUAACGUCGCAAGACCAAAGAGGGGGACCUUAGGGCCUCUUGCCAUCGGAUGUGCCCAGAUGGGAUUAGCUAGUAGGUGGGUAACGGCUCACCUAGGCGACGAUCCCUAGCUGGUCUGAGAGGAUGACCAGCCACACUGGAACUGAGACACGGUCCAG
rnacentral:rRNA from 1 species